rnacentral:lncRNA from 1 species
UAUAAUCUCUCAUCACGAACUACCCUGACUUGGACACAAGCCUAAAUAUAUAAAAAAAAAAGGCACACACACUCAUCAAACUGAUAUAAUAUACUCAUUAGAAAAGUACACAUUAUUUGUACCAAAAAAAGAAAGAAAACUACACUAUUUCUUUUAUUUUUUAUGGUUAUUAGUGUGUGCCUUCAAUAAGUAUGAAACUGCGACGGCUAAUGGCUGUAGCUAGGCGAGUGGCACCCAAAUUAGGAAAAAGCUGGAGUUAUUCCAGGAGAUGGGGACGAGGCUACCAAAAUUAGAGAUAUAUUCACUAAUAAUCAUUCUCUCAUAUUCAUAUACCAUGAAUUAGGGUAGAUUGGUCAUCUACUUUUUUACAAAUAACAAAAAACACGAAGACCUAAGCUCAUAACACUUAUGAUUAAGGUAUUCACAACAAUAACAAAGGCAGGAACAGUUGGCACCCACUUAGGGCCGUGAAAAAUCAUUUCCAGGCCACAUUACACCGUAAAAGAUGGUUACAUCAUUGCCCUCCGUAAAAGAACUGGAACUUCCAUUACUUCCCUUGAUCAAAAUGACGAAAGCUUAAGACUUGAUUGGUUCAAAGUUGUCUUCCACCAAGAUGAACAAGCACGUAAAAAAGGAGUAAUUCAAGUAGAUUACAUAUGUUGUAAUUUAGCGCUUAACUCAUUUAACUUCCUGUUUCCUUUAAAGUUUAAACAAUAUGACUUUCAUCCCCCCUUUGACAGACAGAGUUCUCGAAACUAUCUCACUUUUUGUGGGUUUUUAACCUCUUUUGAUCAUUUUGAAUUUUUUUUUGGUUUAUAACCCUCUGGUUCCUAGGGGAAGGGAGCCCUAGUAAUCCAAAGUUCGACCGCGAGGUAAGUAAAGUCUGAUAGAAUUUCUACAAUAUCAUGAGCGAAAUUCAACCUUAAACAGCGGAAACGAAAUUGAAAUUAAAUAGCCGAAAUACCUCCCGCCAUUGCUCUUGCUUAAAGGUUGUUCUUGCU